CUCUUCUUGUAUUUUGAUUUGAAGUACGGCCUGCCCACUGAUGUUAUUGAAGGGCCGCGGUAUUUUGACCGUGCAAAGGUAGCAUAAUCAUUAGUUUUUUAAUUGUGAACUGGUAUGAAUGGUUUGACGAGGCAUAAUCUGUCUUUAAUUUGGAUUAUUAUUGAAUUUAUUUUUUGGGUAAAAAUGCUCAAAUUUUGUUAUGGGACGAGAAGACCCUAUAGAGUUUUAUAUAGUACACUUAUGAGUAUUUGUUUUGUUGUGUUGGAGUGUAACUAAUAUUUUGUUGGGGUGAUGGGAAGAUAUAUUUAACUCUUCUUUUUUCUUUUCACUUAUUUGUGUUUUUAUGAUCCUUUAUUAUUGAUUAUAAGAUCAAAUUACCUUAGGGAUAACAGCGUAAUCUUUUUUGAGAGUUCUUAUUGACAAAAGGGUUUGCGACCUCGAUGUUGGAUUAGGAUGAAUUUUUGGUGUAGAGGCUUUAAAAUUGUUUUGUAUUAGGUCUGUUCGACCUUUAAAAUCUUACA
rnacentral:rRNA from 1 species